rnacentral:rRNA from 1 species
CUGGCUCAGGAUGAACGCUGGCGGCGUGCCUAACACAUGCAAGUCGAACGAGAAUGCCUUGAAGAUUCGUCGGAAGGGCAUUCGAGUGGCGGACGGGUGAGUAACGCGUGGGUAACCUGCCCUGUACCGGGGGAUAACAGUUAGAAAUGACUGCUAAUACCGCAUAAGCGCACAGCAUCGCAUGAUGCAGUGUGAAAAACUCCGGUGGUACAGGAUGGACCCGCGUCUGAUUAGCCAGUCGGCGGGGUAACGGCCCACCAAAGCGACGAUCAGUAGCCGACCUGAGAGGGUGACCGGCCACAUUGGGACUGAGACACGGCCCAAACUCCUACGGGAGGCAGCAGUGGGGAAUCUUGCACAAUGGGCGAAAGCCUGAUGCAGCCGACGCCGCGUGAGUGAUGAAGUAUUUCGGUAUGUAAAGCUCUAUCAGCAGGGAAGAAAAUGACGGUACCUGACUAAGAAGCCCCGGCUAACUACGUGCCAGCAGCUGC